UACGUAGGGGGCGAGCGUUGUCCGGAUUUACUGGGCGUAAAGAGCGCGUAGGUGGUUUGCAGAGUCGGCUGUGAAAUCUCUGGGCCCAACCCAGAGGAGUCGGCCGAGACCUGCGGACUUGAGGGUGGUAGAGGAAGGUGGAAUUCCGGGUGUAGUGGUGAAAUGCGUAGAGAUCCGGAGGAACACCAGUGGCGAAGGCGGCCUUCUGGGCCACACCUGACGCUGAGGCGCGAAAGCGUGGGGAG
rnacentral:rRNA from 1 species